rnacentral:rRNA from 1 species
CCUACGGGUGGCAGCAGUGGGGGAUAUUGCACAAUGGGGGAAACCCUGAUGCAGCGACGCCGCGUGGGUGAAGACGUAUUUCGGUAUGUAAAGCCCUAUCAGCAGGGAAGAAAGAAGACGGUACCUGACUAAGUAGCCCCGGCUAACUACGUGCCAGCAGCCGCGGUAAUACGUAGGGGGCGAGCGUUAUCCGGAUUCACUGGGUGUAAGGGGAGCGUAGACGGCCGUGCAAGCCAGGAGUGAAAGCCCGGGGCCCAACCCCGGGACUGCGCUUGGACCUGGCCGGCGUGAGUGCGCGGGGGGCAGGCGGAAUUCCUGGUGUAGCGGUGAAAUGCGUAGAUAUCAGGAGGAACACCGGCGGCGAAGGCGGCCUGCUGGAGCGCGACUGACGUUGAGGCUCGAAAGCGUGGGGAGCAAACAGGAUUAGAUACCCCUGUAGUC